GCAUGGCUGAAUUCUGCCUCAGCUGGCCUGUGCUGGAGACAGUCAGACACCAUGCAAAAGCCAAGCCUCAUUUCUGCCUAAUGAUUGGACAGAUGCUCCAAACCAGCGCUGUUCAGCUACGCAGAAAUGAGUACACAC
ensembl:snoRNA small nucleolar RNA SNORA15